rnacentral:rRNA from 1 species
AUUGAACGCUGGCGGCAUGCCUUACACAUGCAAGUCGAACGGCAGCACGGGAGCAAUCCUGGUGGCGCGUGGCGAACGGGUGAGUAAUAUAUCGGAACGUGCCCAGUCGUGGGGGAUAACGUAGCGAAAGCUACGCUAAUACCGCAUACGAUCUAUGGAUGAAAGCGGGGGAUCGUAAGACCUCGCGCGAUUGGAGCGGCCGAUAUCAGAUUAGGUAGUUGGUGGGGUAAAGGCUCACCAAGCCGACGAUCUGUAGCUGGUCUGAGAGGACGACCAGCCACACUGGGACUGAGACACGGCACAGACUGCUACGGGAGGCAGCAGUGGGGAAUUUUGGACAAUGGGCGCAAGCCUGAUCCAGCAAUGCCGCGUGCAGGAUGAAGGCCAUCGGGUUGUAAACGGCUUUUGUACGGAGCGAAAAGGCUCUCUCUAAUACAGGGGGCUCAUGACGGUACCGUAAAAAUAAGCACCGGCUAACUACGUGCCAGCCGCCGCAGUAAAAC